rnacentral:rRNA from 1 species
GAUGAACGCUGGCGGUGUGCCUAACACAUGCAAGUCGAACGGCAGCACGGUAAGCUUGUGCUCUUACCGGUAGCGGGUGGCGGGCGGGUGACGAAUGCAUCAGCUUCUUCUUUUUCGUGGAGGAUAACGUAAGAACGCUUACGAUAAUACAGCAUACGAUCUACGGGUGAAAGCAAGGGAUAUUCGGACCUUUCGCGUUUGAAUUAGCCGAGGUCGGAUUAGCUAGUUGGCUGGGUAAGGGCCCACCAAGGCGACGAUACGUAGCGGGACUGAGAGGAUGAUCAGCCACACUGGAACUGAGACACGGUCCAGACUCCUACGGGAGGCAGCAGUGGGGAAUAUUGGACAAUGGGCGCAAGCCUGAUCCAGCCAUACCGCGUGGGUGAAGAAGGCCUUCGGGUCGUAAAGCCCUUUUGUUGGGAAAGAAAAGCAGUAGGUUAAGACACCGCUGUUCUGACGGUACCCAAAGAAUAAGCAACGGCUAACUUCGUG